UACGUAGGGUGCAAGCGUUGUCCGGAAUUAUUGGGCGUAAAGAGCUCGUAGGCGGUUUGUCGCGUCGGCUGUGAAAACCUGGGGCUUAACUCCGGGCCUGCAGCCGAUACGGGCAAGCUAGAGUUCGGCAGGGGAGACUGGAAUUCCUGGUGUAGCGGUGAAAAUGCGCAGAUAUCAGGAGGAACACCGGUGGCGAAGGCGGGUCUCUGGGCAUUAACUACGUGAGGAGCGAAAAGCAUGGGGGAGCGA
rnacentral:rRNA from 1 species